rnacentral:rRNA from 1 species
UGGCGGACGGGUGAGUAACGCGUGGGUAACCUGCCUUACACAGGGGGAUAACACCUGGAAACAGGUGCUAAUACCGCAUAAGCGCACAGGGCCGCAUGGCCCGGUGUGAAAAACUCCGGUGGUGUAAGAUGGACCCGCGUCUGAUUAGCUUGUUGGUGGGGUAAUGGCUCACCAAGGCGACGAUCAGUAGCCGGCCUGAGAGGGUGAACGGCCACAUUGGGACUGAGACACGGCCCAAACUCCUACGGAAGGCAGCAG